rnacentral:rRNA from 1 species
UGGGGAAUAUUGGGCAAUGGAGGGAACUCUGACCCAGCGACGCCGCGUGAAGGAUGAAGUAUUUCGGUAUGUAAACUUCGAAAGAAUAGGAAGAAUAAAUGACGGUACUAUUUAUAAGGUCCGGCUAACUACGUGCCAGCAGCCGCGGUAAUACGUAGGGACCAAGCGUUGUUCGGAUUUACUGGGCGUAAAGGGCGCGUAGGCGGCAAUUCAAGUCAUCUGUGAAAUCUCCGGGCUUAACUCGGAACGGUCAGAUGAUACUGCUUUGCUAGAGUGCAGAAGGGGCAAUCGGAAUUCUUGGUGUAGCGGUGAAAUGCGUAGAUAUCAAGAGGAACACCUGAGGUGAAGACGGGUUGCUGGGCUGACACUGACGCUGAGGCGCGAAAGCCAGGGGAGCAAACGGGAUUAGAUACCCCAGUAGUCCCUGAGCGGGCUGGCAAGGCGCAU